ensembl:lncRNA
GAAACUUUGCAACAUGCCUGCCUAGGACACUGAUUAGACUUAUUUAUACUGUUUUCCAUUACAUAUAUGCAUACAUAUCCUAAUCAUUUCUCCCUUAUUACUUUCUCAUAACCUAUUAAAUAAUUUGAUAAUAAAGACACUUGUUCACUCCUUCUUUUCACUGACUUUGUGUUGAAAGACAAAAGAUCUGUCCCAAGAUUGUGGAGUUUUCAGGACAGUCAAGUUUCUCAGAUAACUUACUGUAAUCUACAGAAAGUUGAAGAUCUGCCAUUUAGAGAUUUUCAAGCACAGAUUUUUGCAUACAUUACACAGAAUACAUUCAUGAUAAAGAAUAUAAAUAACUUGUUAAUGUAAUCUCUUUGUGAAUCCUUUUUUGUUGUUGAAUAUUUUGAAUUAAUAAAUAGUUUUUCAUUUCCACAAAAUAGUUUGGAAUAAAUUGUGGGUAAAUGAAAACUGGAGUCAUGUGUUCAGUGUGUACUUACAGGUGUAUUAUGGAUGACACAGUUGAGGUUUAUCCAAGUGAUCCAAGAACGUAUGACUUUGGGAUCCACGCGUUCAAGUUCACAGGUGGCUACAAUGAGGUGUACAUUACCUGUUCUGUGAUUCUGUGUGCGGAAGGAAAUUCAAACUCAAGAUGUGCCCAAGGCUGCCUUAGAGAACCCUCACACAAACGCAGACGAGACGUAAGCAAAGAAACCGCCAGGCAUUACAUCAAGCAGGGUCCCUUCCGUGUGGUGAGACGAACUCAGCAUUCAGCAGCAGGUAUUGUAUUUUAGUAAAAUGUUAAAAUAAUAAUGACUUCAAAUGUUUCUGCAUCAUGAUUGUUAAUAUAACUGCAUGUUUCUUUCUUCAGCUUCAGAAAAUGGUGGUUCUCUUCAUGUCAGGGCAGGCACCGGGGUCUUCGCAGGACUCUUCAUAAUCUCCAUUGCGGUGCUGGUGGGGUUGUUGGUCUAUAAAGCCAAAAAAACAAGAGCACCUGACCGCAUGUAUCUGAUGUCCAACUUUUGAAAUAAUUUUUUCAUUCCAGAUCAUUAAAUGAAUUUUCAGUUUUCUUUUUAUGAAUUUUC